GCAAAAAAUUAUGACAAUUCACAGAUGAAGUGAAUAACGUUGAUUAUCUCCUAAGAAUGACACAUUUUAAGGUCUGCGAUAUAUUCGAGGCUAAGCGAACCAUUGGUUCUUGUAGAGCUUUCUCAGUUUCCAAGUGUAACCUCUUCAUAUGGCAAGGAGCCAAAACAUUAUGACAAUUCACGGAUGAAGCGAAUAACAUUGAUUAUCUCGUAAGAAUCACACAUAUGAUUCUCAGGUACGGCAGGCCAAAGCCACAGAAGAAGCCAACGGAAGAGGGGCGGGCCAGUGAGGAGACCACCGCCCAAAGACUCCCUCCUUUGUGUUUUGAUCAGUGCCCCCCCGAAUACUUGCCAAUUGAGUGGUUCCAGAAAGAGGACCAGCCCACCCUGGAGGAGAUGCAGCUCCACGCCUGGAUCCAGCAGGCCUGAUAGACACUGGAGUGUGGGGAUGCACCCCACUGACUGCCGGAAUAAUGGCAAUGAGACAGAGAAACAAAUGGCCCAUUGAGGAGAAAAUUAUUUAGAGAAUGGCGAUAAAUGGAGAUAUAGAAUGGAGAUAUACACCAGUGAGCCAAAAAUUGACAAUUCACAGAUGAAGUGAAUUAUCUCCUAAGAAUGACACAUGUCUUUAAGGCCUGCGAUAUAUUCGAGGGUACGGCAGGCCAAAGCCACAGAAGAAGCCAACGGAAGAGGGGCGGGCCAGUGAGGAGACCACGGCCCAAAGACUCCCUCCUCCACCAAGAACAGUUCCGAGUAGCCCGGCUGGGCCAAUCAGAGGAGCUCUACCUUCACUGCCAACUCGACGGGCACCCCUGCCAAGCCCUGGUGGACACGGUGUCCACCAUCACCCGGCCUGGCGUGCUCCCCAACACCACGGGCACACUUCCACCAAGCUGAGAACGGCGACUGGUGAACGAGCAGAGACGAGAGGAUGCAAGCUGCUGUGCGUCAGCAAACCCACCAUGACUUCUGGCUGGUCAUGGUCAUGGUCACUAAAACAUAGGCGUAGUAAAAUAGCUUAUAGUGAGUUGUAAUAUUUAGAAAAAGUAAAUACGGAGUGGCUUCACCUCAAUGUAAUGUAUUUGGACUUGGCAAUUAAAAAUAAUGAUGUCCUCUGAAAAGGGGUGGUGGUGGAGGGAUUAAUAAUAAAAGAAAAAAAAGAAAGUUCAG